UCCGGGCAAGAUGGCGGCGCAGAGGGCUGACGCUGGAGUUUUAAGUCUCUACCCUCCGAGCUCGGAGACCCAGACUACUGAGGCCCCGGCGUGGCGAGACUCGCGUGGGCGGUCUGCCGAGCUCCGCGAAGAUCUCUCCUCACAGGAAGAGGAGGAGGGCGACUCGGACACCGGAGCCAGCGGCUCGGGUUCCUGCACCUCUGGGAGCAGCGACGCUGAUCUGGAGCCUGAAUGGCUAGACAGUGUGCAGAGAAAUGGAGAACUGUUUUAUCUGGAAUUGAGUGAGGAUGAGGAAGAAAGCCUCCUUCCUGAGACACCAAUUGUGAACCACGUCAGGUUCAGUGAGAACGAGAUCAUCAUUGAAGCUGAUGAUUACCAAGAAAGAAAAAAGUAUGAACCCACACUCAAGCGCUUUACCAAGAUUUUGAAAAGUAAAAGACUUUUACCUAAGCGCUACAACAAAAAGAACAGCAAAGACGAUGGGCCUGUGUCUAUUCUAAAACAUCAUUCCAACCAGAAGACAGGGAUCACUGUCCAACAGCAGUACAAAGAUGUGAAUGUUUAUAUCAACCCCAAAAAGCUAACCAUCAUGAAAGGCAGGGAGCAGCUCAAACUCCUGGAAGUGCUGGUGGGAAUAAUCCAUCAGAAGAAGUGGAGCUGGAGGAGAGGUGGCAAGCAGGCUGAGGGAGAGAGGCUUGUGGUGCAUGGCCUGUUGCCUGGAGGCUCUGCUUUGAAGAGUGGUCAGGUGCUGAUUGGUGAUGUCCUUGUUGCUGUCAAUGAUGUAGAUGUGACUUCUGAAAACAUAGAGAGAGUUUUGUCUUGUAUCCCUGGGCCAAUGCAGGUGAAACUGACAUUUGAAAAUGCGUAUGCAGUAAAAAAGGAAACAACUCAACCAAGAAAGAAAAAAGCACAGUCCAACAAGAAUGAUGUAGUCAAAUUCCUGUGUGGGGAAGAGGCUGAAGGCAUCCAGCACAGUAUCCUGGGCACCCCACACAUUACCAUGUAUCUCACACUGCAGCUUGACUCAGAGGCCUCCAAGGAGGAGCAAGAAAUUCUUUACCAUUACCCAAUGACUGAGGCAUCUCAAAAGCUCAAGAGUGUGAGGGGGAUUUUUCUCACACUCUGUGACAUGCUGGAAAAUGUAACUGGGACACAAGUAACUAGCUCAUCCCUCCUUUUAAAUGAGAAACAAAUUCAUGUUGCUUACUUGAAGGAAUCUGACAAGUUGUUGUUAAUUGGCCUUCCUGCUGCAGACGUUCCUCUUCCCCAGCUAAGGAAUAUGAUAGAAGAAGUUGCACAAACCUUAAAAUUUAUGUAUGGUUCUUUAGAUAGUGCCUUUUGCCAGAUCGAGAAUGUUCCUCGUUUGGAUCAUUUCUUCAGCUUAUUCUUUCAGAGGGCACUUCAGCCUGCUAAACUACAUCCCAGCCCCAGCCCCAGUGCUCAACAGUAUGAUGCAGCCAGCGCUGUGCUUUUAGACAGCCUCCCUGCAGUUCGUUGGCUCACACUUCCACAGGAAAUCAAGAUGGAUUUGGACACAGCAUUAAGUGACCUUGAGGCUGCAGAUUUUGCAGAGCUGUCUGAAGAUUAUUAUGACAUGAGACGGCUGUAUACAAUUUUGGGGUCUUCUCUAUUUUACAGGGGUUAUUUGGUGUGCAGCCAUUUGCCUAAGGAUGAUCUUGUUGAGAUUGCUAUAUACUGUCGACACUAUUGCCUGCUACCUUUAGCAGCAAAGCAAAGAAUUGGUCAGCUGAUAAUAUGGAGAGAAGUCUUUCCUAGGUAUCACCUCCAGCCUUCCACAAGCUCAGACACUGAGGUAUUUCAGGAACCUGAAGGAAGAUAUUUUUUACUGAUUGUCGGAUUGAGACAUUAUAUGUUGUGUGUGCUGUUAGAAGCUGGAGGCUGCACAUCCAAAGCUACUGGGAAUCCUGGUCCAGAUUGUAUAUAUGUGGAUCAGGUCAGAACAACUCUUCAUCAGCUAGAAGGAGUAGAUUCACGCAUAGAUGAACAGCUAGCCACAUCUCCAGGGCCCUCUUUGUCUUCUGCUGACUGGUUCCUUGCUGUACCGCGUGAAAAAGCAGAUAGUCUGACCACUUCACCUGUCCUUAAUAGGCUUCAGGGGACUUCCAAAGCAGCAACCUCACCAACAUGCCGACGAGCCUUUUUUGGUGAUUAUUCCUUCAAGACACGGAAACCCAAUCCUUCCCAGAGCAGUGGAGGAUGGGAGCCUAGUUAUGAAGAUGAAGCCGGUGUUGGGCUUAGCCCACACACUACCCCAGAUGUGGUACAAAAGCAGAGAGAAUAUGAUGGCUCAGAAGAUAGUGGGGCUUUGCUUAAGGUCACUAAGAAGAAGUCGAUCCUUCCAAAUCCAUUUCAUUUGGGAAAUUUGAAAAGGGAACUUUCAGAAAAAGAAUUAGAAGUAUAUAACACAAUGAAAUUGACAUCUGGACCUGAGAAUACACUCUUCCACUAUGUUGCUUUAGAGACAGUGCAAGGCAUCUUCAUUGCUCCCACCCAUGAAGAGGUGGCACAGCUCAGCGGCUCCCUCCACUCUCAGCUAAUAAAGAAUUUCCAUCAGUGUUGUCUUUCCAUUCGUGCAAUUUUCCAACAGACAUUGGUGGAAGAGAAAAAUAAAGCACUAAAUGGUGAAGAUCAUUCCAAUUUUACAAGUUCAGCAUCUUCUCUCACCCCUGUGAAAGAACAUGGUGUCUUGUUUGAAUGCACACCUGAAAACUGGACUGACCAGAAAAAAGCACCGCCAGUUAUGGCUUACUGGGUAGUAGGGUCUCAAAAAGGAUGAUCUCAAAUCAUGACCCUUCUGCCCCAGUGUCCUGAGUGCCUGGAAUUGAAGGAGGCUCUUCCUUCACCCAAAACCUCAGGAACUUUAUGUUUGUUUUCAUGACUCCAUCACAGAAAUUGCCGUUGAAAUGGCAUUUAAAUUGUUCUUUGGAUUAAUGGUGUAGCUGUGUACAUGAGUAGAACAUGGAAGAGUGUCAGAACUGCUGAAAUUAAUACACAGAAAUAAAACUUAGCUUUUUUUUCACUGUUCAGUAUCGAGCAUCUAUGUCAGGUACUGAGAUGCAGUGCCACUGCAUUGACCAUCAGCUCAUAUUGUGUAAGACAUUUGAGGAAGACACUUGAUGAAAAUAAGAAGAAAAGAUAGUUAACUUAUUACAUUUGGCAAUGUUUAUUUAUUGACUACUUUGAAAUAAUGUGAAGUAUUUUAUAGAAAAUUAAUAUAGCAGAUGUUUAUUUGGGGAUUUUUAUUUGUCUCAAAACCAAUAUUGAUAUCUGGGGGGAGGAAUUAUGAAAUUGGAGAGAUAGUAAGAUUCUUUAACCAGUUAGCACUGCAAUAAGCAAGUACUUGCACCUCUCUGACUUCAGACUUUUCAUGUACAAAUAAGUUUACUUCAUUGAGGUUUUGAAAGUCCUAGUUAAGAAAAACGUGUUUCUUUUCCUGCUUAUUGGUCAGUAUCUAAAUUUAUAAUGUUUGCAUUCUGAUUGAUUUCUUAACACAUCAAGCCUUUUCAUUACUUUUUUAGCAGAUACCUCACUGUAGGGGGAAAAGGGGGGAGAUGAAAAUUAAACUUCAUUUGUGUUUC